UUAAAUUGAAGAGUUUGAUCAUGGCUCAGAUUGAACGCUGGCGGCAGGCCUAACACAUGCAAGUCGAACGGUAACAGGAAGCAGCUUGCUGCUUUGCUGACGAGUGGCGGACGGGUGAGUAAUGUCUGGGAAACUGCCUGAUGGAGGGGGAUAACUACUGGAAACGGUGGCUAAUACCGCAUAACGUCGCAAGACCAAAGAGGGGGACCUUCGGGCCUCUUGCCAUCAGAUGUGCCCAGAUGGGAUUAGCUUGUUGGUGAGGUAACGGCUCACCAAGGCGACGAUCCCUAGCUGGUCUGAGAGGAUGACCAGCCACACUGGAACUGAGACACGGUCCAGACUCCUACGGGAGGCAGCAGUGGGGAAUAUUGCACAAUGGGCGCAAGCCUGAUGCAGCCAUGCCGCGUGUAUGAAGAAGGCCUUCGGGUUGUAAAGUACUUUCAGCGGGGAGGAAGGUGUUGUGGUUAAUAACCGCAGCAAUUGACGUUACCCGCAGAAGAAGCACCGGCUAACUCCGUGCCAGCAGCCGCGGUAAUACGGAGGGUGCAAGCGUUAAUCGGAAUUACUGGGCGUAAAGCGCACGCAGGCGGUCUGUCAAGUCGGAUGUGAAAUCCCCGGGCUCAACCUGGGAACUGCAUUCGAAACUGGUAGGCUUGAGUCUUGUAGAGGGGGGUAGAAUUCCAGGUGUAGCGGUGAAAUGCGUAGAGAUCUGGAGGAAUACCGGUGGCGAAGGCGGCCCCCUGGACAAAGACUGACGCUCAGGUGCGAAAGCGUGGGGAGCAAACAGGAUUAGAUACCCUGGUAGUCCACGCCGUAAACGAUGUCUACUUGGAGGUUGUGCCCUUGAGGCGUGGCUUCCGGAGCUAACGCGUUAAGUAGACCGCCUGGGGAGUACGGCCGCAAGGUUAAAACUCAAAUGAAUUGACGGGGGCCCGCACAAGCGGUGGAGCAUGUGGUUUAAUUCGAUGCAACGCGAAGAACCUUACCUGGUCUUGACAUCCACAGAACUUUCCAGAGAUGGAUUGGUGCCUUCGGGAACUGUGAGACAGGUGCUGCAUGGCUGUCGUCAGCUCGUGUUGUGAAAUGUUGGGUUAAGUCCCGCAACGAGCGCAACCCUUAUCCUUUGUUGCCAGCGGUCCGGCCGGGAACUCAAAGGAGACUGCCAGUGAUAAACUGGAGGAAGGUGGGGAUGACGUCAAGUCAUCAUGGCCCUUACGACCAGGGCUACACACGUGCUACAAUGGCGCAUACAAAGAGAAGCGACCUCGCGAGAGCAAGCGGACCUCAUAAAGUGCGUCGUAGUCCGGAUUGGAGUCUGCAACUCGACUCCAUGAAGUCGGAAUCGCUAGUAAUCGUGGAUCAGAAUGCCACGGUGAAUACGUUCCCGGGCCUUGUACACACCGCCCGUCACACCAUGGGAGUGGGUUGCAAAAGAAGUAGGUAGCUUAACCUUCGGGAGGGCGCUUACCACUUUGUGAUUCAUGACUGGGGUGAAGUCGUAACAAGGUAACCGUAGGGGAACCUGCGGUUGGAUCACCUCCUUACCUGAAAGAA
rnacentral:rRNA from 1 species